rnacentral:rRNA from 1 species
UACGUAGGUGGCAAGCGUUGUCCGGAAUUAUUGGGCGUAAAGCGCGCGCAGGCGGUCCUUUAAGUCUGAUGUGAAAUCCCACGGCUCAACCGUGGAAGGUCAUUGGAAACUGGGGGGACUUGAGUACAGAAGAGGAAAGCGGAAUUCCAAGUGUAGCGGUGAAAUGCGUAGAGAUUUGGAGGAACACCAGUGGCGAAGGCGGCUUUCUGGUCUGUAACUGACGCUGAGGCGCGAAAGCGUGGGGAGCAAACAGGG